rnacentral:lncRNA from 1 species
GAUGAAGAAGCUGAACCAGAUGGAGCUUUGAAUGACUGUAUUCUUCUUUGGAUUUUGAAAUAUUUAUUUAUUUGGCUGUGUUGUGUCUUCGUUGUGGCACAUGGGGUCUUUGUUGCAACAGGCUGGCUUAGUUGCCGCACAGCAUGUAGGAUCUUAGUUCCCCCACCAGGGAUCAAACCCACAUCUGCUGCAUUGCAAGGCAGAUUCUUAACCCCUGGACCACAGGGAAGUUCCUGUUCUUUGGAUUUUGAAUACCAGAUUUUAUCUGUUUUUAAGUGUGGUCAUAUCAUUAAACUAUUGGCAAGAAAUAAUGAGGUGAAGAGAAAAUUAAUAGGAAAUGAACUACUCAUAAUGCUAAAACCUUCUGAAGAUAAACUGGGUUUUCUCUUUUUUUCCUUUCAUCGCAGGUAUAAUACUUCUCCACAUCUGCUUCAGGAAGAAAGUGCCUGCCACUCCUGUUGUUUCUACGCAGGUUCAUGCCAGCCCAGAACACAGAAUCAGUGGUGGGACUCAUGACAAGACGGAAAGCUUGCAGGCAAGAAGUGGAUGAAGAGGAAUGGAUUGCUCACAGGGCAGUGUCGCUGCAUGGAUGUACAUUCACUGUUUCCCUCUACCCAUUUCUGUGAACUUGUCUAAAUGGACUAAGUGUUACCUUUUGUUUGCAUUUUGUAUUUCUUGUCGUUUUUGUCUUUCUGUUUUGCUUUAGUUUAUGAUGUUUUUCAUCCCUCUUGUAAAAUCAGAACUUGUCCACAAAAAGAUGAUUUUUUUAUACUACCCAGCAUUAUGAUAUUUUUAUAAUUAAUACCUUACCCUUAAAUAUAUGACAAGCCUCUACUUUUGUGAAUUAGAAAUGUAAUUUCAAGCAAAUGUAAUUUCAAGAUUGUUUACUGUGAAACAGAUUCUUUAGUAGUUUUUGGAAAAUAGUAGCAUUCCUGAUUAGAAAAUAGCAUAUUAAGUGAUUGGUUUUGUGCUGCUUGCCAAAAGCAUGUAAAGCCUUUUCUCCUAAUUCUUGUUAAUUGAGAUUAGCACACAUGAAAAUUAUACAGUUUUGAUUAUUAAAAAUUUAAUACAUAUAUUUUUUCUUGGGAGUCCCAUUUUUAAACAAGUUUAAAGAGAGGGUUGUCCAUGUCGAAAUAGAAACAAAGUAAAAAUAGCCAACUCAGGACUUCAAGCCUACAGUGAACUUGGCUUUUAUUUCCAUGCAGUAUUUCUGAGUUUAGCUUGUGUUGAAUGCCAGGUUCUUUCUGUAAAAACAAAAAUGCCUUUCUUUGGAUUAUUUAUAAGCUUCGUUUUUAGUAUGGCCAGUGGAGUUAAUGGCCAUAACCAUUAAUAUUGGCUAUAUACCUUGAAGGCAGUACUGUAUCAAUUUGUAUUAACCUAAAAUUUUUGUUGUGAUAAGCAUUAGGUCUAAUUAAAUUCUGUAUUUCAGGAAAAAUAUUGAAUCUUAUAUGCUUUAAUAUUUUUAAAUUAUGAAGUGCAUAACCUAAAAUUUGAUAUUUUAACUACUUUUAAGUGUACAGUUUACAUUAUAUAUAUUCCAGAUGUGUAACCAUCACCACUAUCCAUUUCCAGAACUUUCAUCAUUCCCCAUUCUCCUUUCUCUUGGCCCCUGGUAACCUCUAUUUCUGUCUCUAUGAAUGUCUAUAUUCCAGAUAUUUUAUGUAAGUGAGAUCUUACGAAAUUUGUCCUGUUUGUGUCUGACAUUUCACGUAAUGUGUUUCCAAGCUUCAAUCCAUGUUGUAGCGUGUAGCAGAACCUUAUUCCUUUUUAUGGGUCAAUAAUAUUCCACUGUUAUGUAUAUUCCACUUUUUGUAUAUUCAUUAACCUAUUGAUGGACAUUUUGGUUAUUUCCACAUUUUGCUGUUGUGAAAUCUGCUGCUGUAAACAUUGGUGUAUAAGUACCUGUUAGAACCUCUGCUUUCAGUUUUGGAUACACACACAAUGCACACACACCUACUCACCCCAGGAGUGGAAUUGCUGAGUCGUGUGGUAACUCUAUGGUUAAAUUUUUGAGGAACUGCCAUAUUGUCUUCCACAGUGGCUGAAUUAUUUUACAGUAUCACUGGCACUAUGCAAGAAUUCUAAUUUCUUACAUCUUUGCUAAAACUUGUUAUUUUUUGAUAACAGCCAUUCUAGUGGAUGUGAAAUAUUAUCUCAUCAUGGUUUUGAUGGACAUUUUCUUGAUGACUGUUGAUUUUGAACAUUUUUUUCAUGUGUUUAUUGACUGUAUGUCUUCUUUGGUAAAAUGGCUCAGUCUUAUUUUUUAUUGGGUUGUCUUCUUGAUCUUUUUGUAUUCUGGUCAUUAAACCUUAAUCACAGAUAGGAUUUGCAGGUAUUUUCUCCUUUCUGGGAGUUCUUUUCACUCUUUAGAUGGUGCCCUUUCAUUCUGAGGAAGCCCAAUUUAUCUGUUUUUCCAGUUCUGGUAUCAUAUUUGAGAAACUGUAGCUAAAUCCAAGGUCAUGAAAAGUUGCUCUUAUGUUUUCUUGUAAGAAUUUUAUAGUUUUAGCUUUCUGAUGAGGUAUGUGAUCCAUUUUAAGUUUAUUCUUAUAUGUGGUGUAACAUAUAUAAGUGAAGUCCAAAAAAAAUGAAGUUUUUUUUUUGCAUGUGGAUUUCCAGUUUUCCCAUUACCUUUUUUUUUUGUUUGUUUUUAAAGUUCUUUCUCUAUUGAAUGGUCUUGACUCCCUUGUGGAAAAUCAACUGGACAUAUAUGUGAGGGUUUAUUUUUGCACACUCUCUGCUAUUCCACUGGUCUUUAUGUCCAUACUCAUGCCUGAACAAGGUUAUUUUGAUUACUGUGUUAAGUAUUUUGUUUUUAAUAUUGACUAAUUUAUUAUUCUUAAUGUGUGCCUUUUAAACUAUUUCUAAUGUAUCUUUAGAUUUUGCAUUUAAUAAUUUCAUUUAGUUGACAGUACUCCAAAAAGAACUGUAAAUAUCAACUUUAUAAUGAGUUCUCUUGAACUUAAAAUACUAGAAAAAUUAAUAUUAAAGUAAGCAGUCGGGGUUUUUUAAUUGAUAUUGCACUUUCUUUGGAAAUUCGAGGGAAAAGUAUAAAGACAAAAAAUGAAAUGUUAAUUGUACUUGCUCACAGAAAGAAUAAAAAAAUGAGAAAGACCA